CUAGCUUUUAUGAUAAGUGACGCAGUAUCCUAGUCAGAUAAACCUUUUUGAAGGCGGGCCUAAAAAUCCGUCAAGGGCACAUCGAUGAAGUUCCUGGUGCUGGCUAUCGACGCCCAGUCGGGGGCUGGUACUGGGAGUUAAGGGGGUGGGGCGACCUGCAAUGGCAUGUGGGCGUUGACCCCGCCCCCGUGGAGACCCAAGUGCGUGGGCAGCCAUGCCGGCUUUACCGGGUGGUCAACUAUGGCUUGGGAUUAAACCUGCAUGUGGUUAAAAGCUGCGUGCAGCGUAGCCUGCCUUGAGUGGUAUGGGUGGAUAUCGGUAUUACAUACGCGUCCGCCAUGGGCCCGUGGACGGCCGUGUGGUGAUUGAAACCUAUACUGCAAAAGAGGCUAGAAAAGGUGUAAUCUGUCGAGGAAAACUCCUAGGCUGUCUGGGGUACCAGGGCGGGCCGGGGAUUAAAGUGUGGACUAAGUGGUAAUCUAGCCCCGGUGCGGCAACGAUCGGAGACAGCUUUAAAGGGAAACCGCCGGUUUGGCGACAGCCGGUAGCUGUUUGGGAAAACCUGCUAGACCUAAGCCACAAUAUUUACCCGGUCCGCUGUCACUUAUCUAAUAAUACCG
rnacentral:sRNA from 1 species